UGGGGAAUAUUGCACAAUGGGCGCAAGCCUGAUGCAGCCAUGCCGCGUGUGUGAAGAAGGCCUUCGGGUUGUAAAGCACUUUCAGCGGGGAGGAAGGCGAUAAGGUUAAUAACCUUGUCGAUUGACGUUACCCGCAGAAGAAGCACCGGCUAACUCCGUGCCAGCAGCCGCGGUAAUACGGAGGGUGCAAGCGUUAAUCGGAAUUACUGGGCGUAAAGCGCACGCAGGCGGUCUGUCAAGUCGGAUGUGAAAUCCCCGGGCUCAACCUGGGAACUGCAUUCGAAACUGGCAGGCUAGAGUCUUGUAGAGGGGGGUAGAAUUACAGGUGUCGCGGUGAAAUGCGUAGAGAUCUGGAGGAAUACCGGUGGCGAAGGCGGCCCCCUGGACAAAGACUGACGCUCAGGUGCGAAAGCGUGGGGAGCAAACAGG
rnacentral:rRNA from 1 species